CAGCAGCUCUGGGCACCUGGUGAGUGGGCUGCGGGCAGCUCCAUCUCUCCCUCUCUCCGUUGUCCUUGCUCUUUCCUCAGCUGGGGCUCCCCACGAUGUCCUGCCUGCACAUGGAGGUGACGAGUGGGGGGCAGGGCUCAGGGAAGGAGUCCCAGGGACCAGGUAAGGACUUUCUACAGGAGCCCCGGGCCGGGGAGGAGCAGGUGUGUGCUCCGGGCCAGGAGCCAGGAAGUGAUGAAAGCCGGGCUCUCCUGCAGGGCUCAGGGGUUUGGAAUCCGUGCGUGGGCGUGGCGCCGUGGGGCGGCGUCUGCAGGCAUCAGCUGAGGAGUCCCAGCACGCCAGCUCCCGCCUCCAGGCCUUUGAGCUUAGCCUGCCGCAGGCCCAGGCUUUUGGAAACUGUCUGCCCUGCCCCAAGCCACCAGUAGCCGGGCAGUACCCCAAUCCCCCUUGCCCUGAGCCUCCUCCCUCCCCCCAACAAUGCACCUGCUCCUCCCUCCUGCCCACUCCACCCCAACCCGGCCAGCCUACAGCCCCAAUCUGCCAGGAAGCCCCAGUGCCUGGCGCCCACGAGGCCCGGGGACGGGAAUGGAGGACACGCCGGGAUUAGGAAGGCAGCGCUGGGCAGGGAGGGCGCCCCGGAGAGGCCGGUCCCGGAGCUGGGAGCCCCGUUAAGAGGCUCAGAUGUUUGGAGACAAAACAAAAACACGUGAUUUCCAACAACCACGACUUUAAAAGUCUUUUCUGCUUCGAAACAACAGCAGCAGCAGCAGCUGCAGCAGAGUUUCCUCCACGUGACUUUUGUUUGUCUCCAGCAGGGCAGGUGGCAGGUGGCAGGUGACAGCAUGACGCUUGCACAGCCACUUUAUUAACUGAGAGUGCUGAGUGCAACAAACCUUCAGGACGUCUGCACCCAACAAGGCUUUUCUCCGUGGGUCAGCUCUCAGGAACCCGGACAGCCAGCACGUCACGUCCCUGUCUUGUGCCAGCCCUGAGCACGGGCAGCCUUCUGCCCAACGACAACGAGCGGGGAAGGUGCCGGAAGAAGAAACUGGUUCCUUGGCUAGGAGACCUUCAGCUUGGGCAGUUUUCCCGAGGAGGAGCAGGCUGGACGCGCUCACCUACGAGGAAAUCACCUGAUGAAGCCGGGGUUUGCUGUAAGGUGAGGAGUCCACGGCCUCUCUCACAUCGAGCGCCGGUCACACGAGUCCCAGCGCCACUUUGGGGACAGCCGGUGAGAGCAGGAAGGAGACGGUGACCUUAAGGAGGGGCCACUGGAGUCCGUGGAGCCUGGCGCCUGCCUCCCACUUACUGGGGACAGUGAGGCGACCCAGGGCAGGGCGGGAGGACACCCGGUGCCGGCAGCCCUGGGAUUCGGGCCUGGAGCCCACAGGGGAAGAAGUGCACGGCAC